rnacentral:tRNA from 4 species
UGCGGGGUCGGCUAAUGGUAGGCCAUGCGGCUCUGAACCGCAGAAUCUAGGUUCGAAUCCUAGCCCCGCAG